GCACCGGUGGUUCAUUGGUAGAAUUCUCACCUUCCAUGUGGGAGAUCCGAGUUUGAUUCCUGGCCAAUGCA
rnacentral:tRNA from 1 species